AGAAUCAACGCUGGCGGCGUGCCUAACACAUGCAAGUCGAACGAGAAAGUGGAGCAAUCCAUGAGUACAGUGGCGUACGGGUGAGUAACACGUGACUAACCUACCCUCGAGUGGGGAAUAACCUCGGGAAACCGGGGCUAAUACCGCAUAAUAUCUUCGGAUCAAAUGCGUAAGCAGCUUGAGGAGGGGGUCGCGGCCGAUUAGCUAGUUGGCGGGGUAAUGGCCCACCAAGGCAAUGAUCGGUA
rnacentral:rRNA from 1 species